GGAGAGUUGGCAGAGCGGUUGAAUGCACCGGUCUUGAAAACCGGCGAUGUUGAAAGACAUCCGUGAGUUCGAAUCUCACACUCUCCG
rnacentral:tRNA from 1 species